GGAGCAAUAAUUUCGAUCUACUCUGACGCACAUUCACUUUUUCUCGGACUUCGUAUCACUUUUGUGACGGAAAAGAAAGUAGAAAAAAAGCAAAAGAAACUUUACCCAGUGAAAGAUGGCGAUGAUCAUGACCAAGAAGACCACAUCAUUGAAUAUCAUGAACAUGUCAAGGACACACAAACACAGCAACAACUUUUCUUUUUUCAAACAAAAAAUUUCAAACCAUCUUCAACCUUAAACUUUUUCAAACUUUUUCUUCAAGUUUAUCUCAUAAUCAUUGUUAGAGCGUGCACAAUCUUCAAUAAUGACUGCUAAAUUCUUCAAUAAUCAAAACAAAACCCGCAUGAUCAUGAUGGUCCAAGUAAUAAUGUUCCAAAAUUGAUCAUUAGUUUUUCAGAAAUUCCACACCCACAUUGGUUUCAAUGUUUCUGGUAUUUUCUUUUCAUCAAUCUGCUUUGCCUUGUUUGAAUAGAACUCAAUCUAAAACUUCUGAGUUUAAAAUCUGUCACUAAAAUUGCUGAAUAUCAAGAAUGUUGAGAAUUUCAACAAGAAAACCCAGUUGAAGCUGUUAACCCUUUUAGCAUUUGAAAUCAAUCAAGCUUACAAGAACUUUUUUUUUUUUUUCAUCAAACUUAGAACAUUCUCUGUAUAUACCCAAAAGCAAUGAAUGAAAAAAGGUGUCCAGUUUUUCAUUCACAGUGCUGAAAUUACAUAACUCCAAGAACUUCCUCACACUAUAUUAUAUAAAACAUCGACACUUACCAAGAAAAGAGAGACGUUGACUUUCACUGUCAGGUGGGUCAAAAAGAAAAAUGUUAACUUUUCUUUCCUUUCACUUUCCUAUUUCCGGUGGUGGUGGCGGCGGCGGGGCGGUGGCGGAGGUUUCCGUCGUUGAGGAUCAACGGCAUGUCGUCGUUGGCCUCAUCGACAUCUUCUUGGGUGGCAAUUCUGAUGCAGCAAUGUUCCAAGGAGGCAAAGAAAGCUGUUGUGACGCCAUUGAUGAACCACAUGGCCACCCCAUCAGGUUUCCCGCAACCUCUGACCUUGUUUUCGCCACCAUUUUCGCUGCUAUUUGUUGAUCGGAGAGUGAAGAAGCCAUUCGUGGAGGAGGUGGUGGUGGCUGCCAUGGCUACUGUUGAAGUGGCCACAACCAGAAGAAGAUGGUGAAGGUUUUGGUAGCUAAUGAACUUUUGCUAGGUUUAGUUAUAACUGUGUAAUUUGAUUAUAUAUAUGAACAUUGCAAAAUUAAAAAAAUAAUAAUAAUCAUAAUUGCAAUCUUCGUGUCCUAGUAUAAUGGAAAUUUCAAUUUAGUCUUUUUCACUUCCCAAU
rnacentral:lncRNA from 1 species